rnacentral:lncRNA from 1 species
AACCACUAAAAUACUAAGAAACACUACAAUGCUUCCUCCUAGUAACAAUAUUCCUUCAUCAACUAAUAACCACAAUGUGCAACCCUGCACUCUCAAAAGUUCACUCAAAAUUCAAUAAAUUCCAUCCAAUACCAGGAAUAACAAACUUCACUCCAAUCAAUCUAAAUUCUUAGAAUUCAUGUAAUCAUACACUUCCUCUAUCGAAACACAGACACACAACUCUCAAUAAAAAACAAUCAUAAUCUUCCAUCCAUAAUCAAUCUUCCAAUAACUUCUCAUAUAAUUCAAUCAUUUAAUACUCCAAUUACAUAAUCAAUAACUCAUAAAUCAAUCUCUGAUUUAUUCCACAGACUCACUUCUCAAUAUUCAGAAACUAUCCAUUAUUCUUCAAUAAUAAAGAAAACAAAAGAAACAAAGAGGAAGCACCAAGUUUAAUCCCGGCUCAUGACUAUCA